rnacentral:rRNA from 1 species
UAGGGAAUUUUGGGCAAUGGGCGAAAGCCUGACCCAGCAACGCCGCGUGAAGGAUGAAGUAUUUCGGUAUGUAAACUUCGAAAGAAUAGGAAGAAUAAAUGACGGUACCCGCAGAAGAAGCCCCGGCUAACUCUGUGCCAGCAGCCGCGGUAAUACAGAGGGGGCAAGCGUUGUUCGGAAUCACUGGGCGUAAAGCGCACGUAGGUGGAUAGUUAAGUUCGGGGUGAAAUCCCAGGGCUCAACCCUGGAACUGCCUCGGAUACUGGCUAUCUCGAGUCCGGAAGAGGUGAGUGGAAUUCCUAGUGUAGAGGUGAAAUUCGUAGAUAUUAGGAAGAACACCGGUGGCGAAGGCGGCUCACUGGUCCGGUACUGACACUGAGGUGCGAAAGCGUGGGGAGCAAACAGGAUUAGAUACCCCAGUAGUCCCUGAGCGGGCUGGCAAGGCGCAU